GCAGCGUUAUCCGGAUUAUUGGGUUAAAGGGUGCGCAGGCGGACUAAUAAGUCAKUGGUGAAAUCCCGGGGCUCAACCCCGGAACUGCCAUUGAUACUGUUAGUCUUGAAUACGGUUGAAGUAGGCGGAAUGUAGCAUGUAGCGGUGAAAUGCAUACAGAUGCUACAGAACACCGAUCGCGAAGGCAGCUUACUAAGCCRAUAUUGACGCUCAGGCACUGAAAGCGUGGGGAGCGAACAGGAUUAGAUACCCUGGUAGUCCACGCCGUAAACUAUGAUCACUCGUUGUUGGCAAUACACAGUCAGUGACUAAGCGAAAGCGAUAAGUGAUCCACCUGGGGAGUACGAUCGCAAGGUUGAAACUCAAAGGAAUUGACGGGGGCCCGCACAAGCGGUGGAGCAUGUGGUUUAAUUCGAUGAUACGCGAGGAACCUUACCUGGGCUCAAAUGUAAGUUGACAGGUCCUGAAAGGGAUUUUUCUUCGGACAAUUUACAAGGUGCUGCAUGNUUGACGUCAGCUCGUGCCGUGAGGUGUCGGGUUAGUCCAUA
rnacentral:rRNA from 1 species